rfam:Trichosporon asahii var. asahii CBS 8904 unplaced genomic scaffold scaffold00049, whole genome shotgun sequence.
GGCGAGAUGGCCGAGCGGUCUAAGGCGCUGUGUUAAGGUUCCGCACCUCGGAUAUCCGAGGCCGAUGUUCUCUUCCGCAGUCUUCGGACGUGGGUUCGAAUCCCACUCUCGUCA